rnacentral:lncRNA from 1 species
CCUCCUGUGUGCAGCUUCUGACCAGAACUCCACUCUGAUUCUUACCGUAGCUUUUAGAUAUUUGAGUCACUUUCCUUCCUCUGGUUACUUUCAAGAUUUUUCUCCAUUUUCUUUCACUUUUCAGCAGGAUGUCUGAGUCCUUGGCAUGCAAACGCACUUCCUGAAUCUGGGGAAGCAGGAGACGAAGAACGCCCAGCACCCACUGCUGGCCGGGCUUGGGUGACCCCUGGGACUCUGCAUCUUCCACAGAGCAGAGCAGAAGCCGCAGAGGCCACAGAGCUGGGACAAGGGCGAUCACGAUCACAAAGCCUCUGCCCUGAGGAGUCACCCAGCUGUGUGUGGCUCGGCAGGCAAGGCUGGAUGCCUCCUCCAAGGGCCUGGGGUAUCCAAGGGAGAGAGAAGGCCAUGGCAGUCUCCAGUGGUACCAAGCAUCUGUGGCGUACCCAGCUCGCUGCCGUGGCCACGGAAGAACUGAAGAAAACCCUACCCAGAAAGCGCUAUGCUCAGCGCCCAGAGCGAGACAACCAGGCCUUUGCCAUCGGCCUCUCUACCGGACAGGGCGCCCAGAGCUGGCUGAAAGAUGCUUCCAGUGAUGGAGGAGAGGAGACGGGUCGGAACCCUCAGAGCCAGCUGCCUGCCGUCUCUCUAGACCUUGUCUU